rnacentral:rRNA from 1 species
GCUAAGCAACAGAAGUUCUGGUUGCCUCCUCCUCCUCCGUUUCGCCAGCCUUUCCAGCAGAAGAACAAAGGUGGCCAUGGUUCUUCCCACUCUUCCAACUUUGGCUAUCAGAACAAGUCUCAGAAUCAAGCUUCAAAGUCGAAUGCUCCUUAUCACCGUCCACUCUCAGAGGUGACUUGCAACAAGUGUCAGCAGAAAGGUCAGUAUGCUAACAAGUGCUUCAACCAAAGGCGCCUUCCGCCUCCUCCUCAUGUGAGAUCUUCCAGCAAUGCAGUGGUCAAGCAUAAUCCAAAGUCUGCAAAG